rnacentral:rRNA from 1 species
GAAAUGCGAUACGUAAUGUGAAUUGCAGAAUUCAGUGAAUCAUCGAAUCUUUGAACGCACCUUGCGCCCCUUGGUAUUCCGAGGGGCACACCCGUUUGAGUGUCGUGAAUACUCUCAACCUUCUUGGUUUCUUUGACCACGAAGGCUUGGACUUUGGAGGUUUAUCUUGCUGGCCUCUUUUGAAGCCAGCUCCUCCUAAAUGAAUGGGUGGGGUCCGCUUUGCUGAUCCUCGACGUGAUAAGCAUUUCUUCUACGUCUCAGUGUCAGCUCGGAACCCGCUUUCCAACCGUCUUUGGACAAAGACAAUGUUCGAGUUGUGACUCGACMUUACAAACCUUGACCUCAAAUCGGGUGAGACUACCCGCUGAACUUAA